GUCGGUCGGUCGGUCGUCUGUCCUGUCGCCGCUGCCGCCGCCGCCACAGCGGCCGCCGCGGGCGCCACCUGAGGGAGUCGCCUCCGCGGGACGCCACAAGACCUGACCGGACUGCGCCGCCCGAGGCCGUCGGCCGCCGUCAGCGAGGGCGCCGAGCAACUUCGAAUGACCGAAGAAGCAUGCCGAACACGGAGUCAGAAACGAGCGCUUGAACGGGACCCAACAGAGGACGAUGUGGAGAGCAAGAAAAUAAAAAUGGAGAGAGGAUUGUUGGCUUCAGAUUUAAACACUGACGGAGACAUGAGGGUGACACCUGAGCCGGGAGCAGGUCCAACCCAAGGAUUGCUGAGGGCAACAGAGGCCACGGCCAUGGCCAUGGGCAGAGGCGAAGGGCUGGUGGGCGAUGGGCCCGUGGACAUGCGCACCUCACACAGCCCACCCCAGCAUCACUGAAGGGGACAACAGCCACCUCCGCUCA
rnacentral:lncRNA from 1 species